UAAAGCAUUACAGCUGAUAAAUAUGAUUUUAAACAAAACAUGUAGUAAAUAUAUAAAGAUAAUGAAAUUCUGUUAUGAAUUAACAUAAAAAAAGGGAUGUUUAUCCCUUGCAAAACUCAAUUUUGCACUUUGUAAGGACAGAUGUCGCCACAAGUUUAAAAGUUAUGUACCUUAAAGUACACAGAAAUACAUAAUAGAAUAAUAAUUAUUAUAAAAUUAUGUUCUAUACAUACAACUGAUAUCAUUUAUAAUAAAUAAGUUCAAAUACUUAUUUUAUAUUCAACACCAAAGUUGUUUUAAUCGCAACAUAAUAUGAAAAUUUGAAACUAUAUUUUCAGACACAAUUUUCAAUGAUAGAAGUAUUUAUUUACUUACUUUAUUUUUUAUAUAUUACAGCCUAUUUUAUUUUGGUUUGGCAUGACUACAUUUCAGAUAUUUUCAAAACCAUUUCUAAAGAAGACUAAGAUUUCUUUUCCGUUCCAGAUGGUACUUUUUCUUUUCGAGCUUUGCAAAUCCUAAAUCCAUCACAACAUUGAAUACAUUCUUAUAACUUGAAUGAGACAAGUUUCCAUUAGUGAUCCAUGUGAAAAAUUCGAUAAUGGUAAAGAUGCUUUUCACGACGUUCAAUAGUAGGAGAUUAUAGAUUAACACGUGAAAAGGGGUUCAUAAAAGGUUCAUUCUGAUAGAAGAUAAGAAGUUUGAGAAGAUAUCAGAUUAGAAUUAUAUAAAAAGAAACUAUGUUGAUGUUUUGUUCUGCUAUAAUGAUCAAGUUGGUUUGUCGAUGCUGUUAAAAAAAAUAUAUAUAUAAUUCCUCGACUUCAAAGAUAGCCGCUGUAAGCCUGUACUGUUUGUAUUUUCUCUAAUUCCGACUGGAUUUGUAAAUAAGUUAUAAAAAAUUAAAUUGAUAUUAUUUUAGUUUGCAAAUAUAUAUGUAUACCUGUUUUUAAAAAAAAAUAAUGUAUAAAAACUGUUUUUAUAUAUUUGUAAUGCUUUCUAGUUAACUUGUUAUUACGGAAAUGAAAUCAACUGUAAUAUUUAAAUGAUCAAAGUAUAAAUUUUUUUACACAUUUAGAAAUCAUUUGCAGGGUUUUUAAAACGAGAACACUAAUUGAAAUUUUGUUAUUUUAAAGAUAAACUUAACAUAUCCAUGCUUAAACAAAUUGUUAUAAUAUAAAUAGCCAAUGUUGUAUUGCUUGAUUAACUAUACUCUCAGUGAAUAAUGAAUG